rnacentral:misc_RNA from 1 species
UUUCCGUAGGUGAACCUGCGGAAGGAUCAUUAUUGUAUAACAGAGGUGCGAGGACCGUCGUUGACGCGAAAGGAAGCGCACGCUCGAGUGCCCUCCCACACAUCUACCCCACCCCUACGCGCAGCACCCCCUGGGUGCCCCCUUGGCAUGUUCGGAGAGGGGUUUACGUUUAUACCCAAACUUUGUAUGCAGUGCAGAAUGUAUCAAUUGUUUUUGCGACCAAGCAAUUAAUUCAACUUUCAACAACGGACCUAUUAGCUCUGGAAUCGACGAAGAAGG